GGGUCGGUUGCUUUAGUGGUCGAAAAGUCUGGACUGUUAAUCCAGUAGGCUUAUGCCUCAUCGUGGGUUCGAAUCCCACCCUUCCCU
rnacentral:tRNA from 1 species